GGCAACAUGUUUUUCUUUCUUUGUUUAUUAUCAUUACUUUUGAAAAUUGUAUUUAAAUUGUUAAGAGAUUUUAACCCUUUCACGCAUAGUGGUCACCACAGUGGACAGCUAUUCAAACGCUGUUUUCUUGUAUUUGUGUCAGUGUUGACGGUGUAUUUGCACAUAAAUCACUACAUUGGACACUGAUGUAUCACUCCAUACCUGGCAGGGUUAUAUUUGUUACAUAUUGUUGGUGCCUUUGCGCACCUUCCUUCGUUAGUUUCCCCCAGUAUAGAUUAUCUUUAUUUCCGUUUUGCCAUUUUCACCUUGUGUUUUAUUUUGCAACAAACCUAAUUCGUAUCUCAGCAAGUGCCUGCUUUUGGCUCCUCAUUUAUUUCCUCCACACAGCUCACUCUGCUAGCUAUGACAGCAGCUCUCCCGCCGCCACCUGUACACAUCAUCACCAACAACAACAACAACACAAGCAGAGCACAGGUUUUAAGCCAGCAAGGCGUGAUUGUAGAUGCCGUGCAGCAGGUCCAUCUCACCUGCAGCGGCAUCGCAGAACACGCCCCACCACAUACCCGCAUUGCCAGACUGAGGCCGGGGAGCCAUACGGCCGAACCUACUCCCCCCUCCGUGAGCAGGUGAGGGAAUCGGCCCGGACCAUUGGCGCCCCAGGCCCUGGCCCAGCAACCAGGAAGUAUUCAGGCGCAUCCAGCGGCGCUGGGGGCGCCCAUUGUUCCUUCAGUGGGCUGGUUUCAGUCAUUAUGCAAAUGUACUGUUUAUAAAAUUAGGGAAACCUGCAGUCAGCUGAGACUGAAGUCACUUGGAUGAGUGACGAAACGUUUCUCCCACUGAAAAUGCUACAUCCAGAUGAACAGAAUCAACUUUUGGUGAACAUCUAUGGAGCACUUACACAGUCUAUGACUAUGGUAUACAUUUACAUACAUUCUUCAUUCAAGGUUCUUUAUUCGUCACAUGCAUAGUUAUACAAGUAUAACACACAGUGAAAUGUAACCUGACACGCUCCUCGACUUGUGCAAAAAUGGGGAUGGAGAGAGGAAGAACAUUAUAUAUAAUAUAUAAUAUAUAAUUAUAUAUCAGGGGUCGGCAACCCUAGGCACGCGUGCCACCGUUGGCAUGCGAAGGGUUAACUGAUGGCACGCACGACCAUAGCUGGACUGGUCAUCGGGCAUAAGGGCAUUUGCUCGGUAGCCCGAUUAUUUUUUAUUUUUUGGUGGUGGAUUGGCCAGACGCUGGUCGGUGUGUAAAAAUAACUCAGUUGUUUGGUGGUGGCUAUGGCGGAGCUUCCACAGAUUCAGUAGGAUGAGGGAAGGGGAGGCAGGAGGAGGGAGGAGAGACCCGAGGCGGCCGCCCGUCAGACCGUCAGGUGAACUGAACUUCAGGUAAGAAGUUAUGACCUGCACUCUAUUUGGGUCAGAUAUAAAACAAGUUUAGGUGGAGUUUAUUUUCGUUGUGCUGACUUUUUACAGUCAGUUACAAUAACUCGUACUGCGUACUAGCUAGCAUGACGGAGUUUAUAUACUGCUGGGCGGGUGCUAUGAUUUUAUUGAUAGUGAACUUUAUUUUAUUCAUAAGGUUAGUUAGUAGAGUUGCCAACCAUCCCGUACAAACGGAAUCGUCCCGCAUUCAGAGAAAUUAUUACACGUUUCGUGUUGAGCUGAGAAGGAACACAGUUUGUCCCGGACUUCAGCCAGGAUGGAAAAAGACACAAAGCUGGAGUUACUGUGUUACUGAAUCAGAGCUGAACAGGUGAUGGAGAAACAGGUUUACCUUUUAGGUGACAUGAAUGAGUUGAAGGGAAGUUAUGAACUGUUUCUGAGAGACAAAUAACACCGGGAUCCUUUUCUAAGUAGCUGACAGCUGGUAACUGUGCAGGGGCGGAUCUAGCAAAGUUUUGCCAGGGGGCCAGGUAGGGCAUUAACAGGGAAAGGGGGGCACAAAGAAAUACUUUCUUAUUCUCAUUUAAAAUGUCUGGCUGUUAUUAAAUAAUUAUCUGAAGCUUACAACCAAAGUUUUUAUCUGACGUAAAAUGAAUAGAAAUCAUACAUUUACCAACAAGACAGUGUACAUCACUGUCACAACAGCGUUUGUUUUCAUUCAAAGGCUUUAUGGCUUUAAUAUCUGGUGGGCCGGUCUUUAGUCAAAAUGCAUCCGUAGACUCGAGACACAAUGCAUUUUUGGGACUUUCAGGUGUAUGGACCAAUGUUUUAUUUUCUGAUCAAACCAGAAAUCUUUAAUGAGCAGCUAGAUUUGUCUCGCAUUAACUGGCUGAGUUAAUGCCAGUUAAUGCGACAUCGAAGCAGCUGGAAUCUACAGCUGUGCAUGUUCAUGGAGCUUGCAUUUUCACCUGCUGGACAUCACUACCUGACAAGUUUAACUGUCUUCAGAACAUUGCAGAGGCCUUAUUGACAGUAUUUGGCUCUACAUAUCUGUGUGAGCAGAUUUUCUCUCACAUGAGUGUCCUCAGGUAGCCGUCUGAAUGCUGGACACUCUGAGACCUGUGUCUCUGAGUGGGAGACCAGAGACACACAUUAACAUGUGUGUCUCUGUAUUAACAAACAUGCCAUAUUGGCCCAGUUUAUUUUUCUUAUCAUUGUUGUGAGGAGACCAUAAAUAGCAUUUGUAUUUUCUGUUGUACAGUUCAUUUGCUGUUAUGGAGUUCUUGUUAUGAAUAAAAAGUGUCUUUUUUUUGUUUCAAAAUAGCUGAUAACUAUUCGCUGAUAGCUGCCAACAUUUGCAAACAAAUAUAAUUCUAUAAAGUGGUUCUAUAUAAUGUGUAACUGUUCAUAUAGAGCGUUAUUAAAUUUAUUGCUAAUGCAAUCAUAUGACACACUGACUUCUGAGGAAAUUUUAAAUGGCACUCGCCAUCAAAAAGGUUGCCUACCCCUGUUAUAUAUAAUAUAUACAUUAUACAUUAGGUGAUAUUAUAUAUAAUAAUAUAUGAUAAUUAUAUAUAAUAUAUAUAAUGUUCUUCCUAAUUUCUAUUGCUACCAAUAGAAGUAAAAAAAUGACAGACAAAAGUUUACAUUUUAAAGACAGUGCAGCAGCUAGAACAAGACCAUUUUUGGUCAACCUUAGUAGUCAGGUCAGUACGCACUAUCAGAAAAGUUCUGGUUGAGUUCAUUUGAAACACAAGGGCUGUGGUGGCCAGAAAAAACAUAAGGCGUAGACUGGUACUACUGGUGGCCAACUCGAGAUAACAUUACUUACAUCUUGGAACCACAUUUCACUGGAAAACAAAACAAAACAUUAUAUAAUCAUCAAGAAGUCAUAGAUAAUGUUUUAUUGCAAGAAAACGUCAUCUGAAAUUAAUUUGUAUUGAAAUGAAAUGUACUGUAUCUAUGAAUUUUUUUUUUCUUACCAAUGCCAGUUUGCGUAAGGAGAAGAGGCAGUGCAAGCAGGAGGACAUCCACUGUCACAACUGCUCCGAUUAUCCAUAUCAUUUUUGAUGCUUUAAAGAGGAGGUUAUUUCGAAUUUUAAAAGGAAACUGUUUAACAGGGUAAAAACACCUUGAAACUUACUAUGGCGAUGUGACACAGAUGGCUCAUUCUCAAGAAGCAUUUGUUUAAUUCGGUUUUUAGUGACUGAGAGCACACAAAAACUUGUUUACAUAUAUGUCCUGUAGGUUACUGUACUGGGAAGGUUACUUUUAAAAUGUAUUCCAUUACAGAUUACAGAAUACAUGUAUUUUGUAACAUACACCGUUA
ensembl:lncRNA